rnacentral:rRNA from 2 species
UUGAAAUCUGGCCCCCCCCGGGGGCCCGAGUUGUAAUUUGCAGAGGAUGCUUUUGGCGAGGCGCCUUCCGAGUUCCCUGGAACGGGACGCCGCAGAGGGUGAGAGCCCCGUCUGGUCGGACGCCAAGCCAGUGUAAAGCUCCUUCGACGAGUCGAGUAGUUUGGGAAUGCUGCUCUAAAUGGGAGGUAUAUGUCUUCUAAAGCUAAAUAUUGGCCAGAGACCGAUAGCGCACAAGUAGAGUGAUCGAAAGAUGAAAAGCACUUUGAAAAGAGGGUUAAACAGUACGUGAAAUUGUUGAAAGGGAAGCGCUCGUGACCAGACUCGGGCCCGGCGGAUCAUCCGGCGUUCUCGCCGGUGCGCUCCGCCGGGCCCGGGCCAGCAUCAGCUCGCCGCGGGGGACAAAGGCUUCGGGAACGUGGCUCCCACGGGAGUGUUAUAGCCCGCUGCGCAAUGCCCCGGGGCGGGCUGAGGUUCGCGCUCCGCAAGGAUGCUGGCGUAAUGGUCACCAGCGACCCGUCUUGAAACACGGACCAAGGAGUCGUCUUCGUAUGCGAGUGUUCGGGUGUGAAACCCCUACGCGUAAUGAAAGUGAACGCAGGUGAGAGCCUCGGCGCAUCAUCGACCGAUCCUGAUGUUCUCGGAUGGAUUUGAGUAAGAGCAUACGGGGCCGGACCCGAAAGAAGGUGAACUAUGCCUGUGUAGGGUGAAGCCAGAGGAAACUCUGGUGGAGGCUCGCAGCGGUUCUGACGUGCAAAUCGAUC